rnacentral:rRNA from 1 species
CUCCUACGGGAGGCAGCAGUGGGGAAUCUUGCGCAAUGGGGGAAACCCUGACGCAGCAACGCCGCGUGAAGGAAGAAGGCUCUAGGGUUGUAAACUUCUUUGAUCAGGGAAGAAAAAAAUGACGGUACCUGAAGAACAAGCCACGGCUAACUACGUGCCAGCAGCCGCGGUAAUACGUAGGUGGCAAGCGUUAUCCGGAAUGACUGGGUGUAAAGAGCAUGUAGGCGGGAAUGCAAGUCAGAUGUGAAAUCUUAAGGCUCAACCUUAUUGAGCAUCUGAAACUGUGUUUCUUGAGUACUGGAGAGGAAAGUGGAAUUCCUAGUGUAGCGGUGAAAUGCGUAGAUAUUAGGAGGAACACCAGUGGCGAAGGCGGCUUUCUGGACAGUAACUGACGCUGAGAUGCGAAAGUGUGGGUAGCAAACAGGAUUAGAUACCCUGGUAGUCCACACCGUAAACGAUGGAUACUAGGUGUAGGAGGUAUCGACCCCUUCUGUGCCGGAGUUAACACAUUAAGUAUCCCACCUGGGAAGUACGGUCGCAAGACUGAAACUCAAAGGAAUUGACGG